UCCAGGAGCUCUGGGAUUUGGUCCAGGAUCUGCUCCAGGAUCUGCUCCAGGAUCUCCGGGAUCUGCUCCAGGCAGGGCCCAACACGGCCGUGCCCGCCGGGCCCGCUGUGCGCCCCCGCUCCGCGCUCCGAGGGGUGAUCCUGUCUUUCUAUGUACUUCCAGACUGCAAGAUUUUCAACUCUGUACAGUUUGUGAGGAGUUUUGCAUAUUUCCAUCCAUGUUGUUCCGAGGUCACUGUUUGUUUUUUGGAUGCACAGUUCCAUGGAGGCCCUGUGCUCCCGGCACUUCUCAAAGCGACCGACAGCCGAGGAUCUGAGGCCCGUGUACAUGACUUGUAUUAUUACUCUUGUAUCACUGCAAUCCAUAUACCUUAUUUUUUUUAACUAAACGAACAAAAAAAAAAAAAAAAUAAUUUAAAGACCAAAAACUGUGCUGGCGAAGUUUGUCCCCCCCCUUCACACCUCCGAUGGGCUGCAGAGGAAGCAGGAAGGAUUUUUGCUGAGUUUUAGUAGAGGUCUUGAUCUUUGGAAUGCAUGCCAGUAAUGUAUUUUAUGGUACAUGUUAAUAAUUUAUGUUUGAUAUUUGUAUUUGUGUUCUAUUUUGUUCUUUUCUUUAAGGUAUAUGACUAUUUUGCAAUAAUUUCGAUGAUUCUUAUGAUAUUUGGAGGAAAGAAUAUGGCUUUUACAUGUCUUGAGGUUUUUCUUUGUUGAUGCCCCACCAUGAUUGACCAGUGUGAUAAGGACUUACAGAAGCAUGUAUGUUUUAUACUGUUUGUAAUAAGUAAUUUCGUUAAUCUUGCUGCUUAUGUGCCAAUUUAGUGAAACCAAUCUUUGCCGCAACCUCCUCCCUCCCUUUCCAUUCUCUCGAUCCUGUGAUAUUAUCCAAGAAUGUAUCAAUAAAGGAUUUUGGUUAACUUUUUUUUAUUUACUCCAAUAAAUAUAUUUUUUCAGUUGUUCCCUCCCCCUUCCCCCUCGUGAUUUAACAUUUAUUUCAUGCCAAUGUCAGGCACACGGAGCAGGUCUGGGGUCAGUCCUGGGGAGCUGGCAGCUGGCUGCAGGGGAAAGUGCUCGGAAGGGACUUUGAAAGGUCUGGAAGAACCCCAAAGCCAAGCUGGAGUCCCACGGUGCCAACCUCGUGUCUGAGAUCUCCAGAGCUGCUGUCAACUGCUGAGACUCCUGAAGGACGUGAAGUGCAGCAGCACACCAGAAGCACAGCACCUGCAGCACCUUCAGCAUCCAACCACGGCUGGGCUGCUCUGACGGAUCCUGGGGAAGGUAUUUAUCCUCCCAUCUUCUGCAGACAACUUGAUCAAUUAUCCUGAUGAAGUUAAUCAGCAUCAGGAGAAGCUGUGACAGGAGAUGAGGAGCUGGCUGUCCCUGGCAUGGCCAGGGAUGCUCCUGCACCCCAGAACAAACCACAGCUGGCUCCACACAGAGCUCUGCCCAGGUAAAAGAGGCUCCAUCAGCACCAAACCCAUCAGCAGCCCAGCUGAUACCGAGGGCAGAGGGGCUGCAGUGUUCUCCCAUCACCACAGGGACAGAGCCAAAUAAACACCUUGCCAUCAAACAAA